CUACGGGCGGCAGCAGUGAGGAAUAUUGCACAAUGGGGGGAACCCUGAUGCAGCAACGCCGCGUGGAGGAUGACGCAUUUCGGUGUGUAAACUCCUUUUAUAUGUCAAGAAAAUGACGGUAGCAUAUGAAUAAGCACCGGCUAACUCCGUGCCAGCAGCCGCGGUAAUACGGAGGGUGCAAGCGUUACUCGGAAUCACUGGGCGUAAAGGACGCGUAGGCGGGUUGGAAAGUCAGGGGUGAAAUCCUACAGCUUAACUGUGGAACUGCACUUGAAACUUCUAAGCUAGAGUAUGGGAGGGGGAGAUGGAAUUAGUGGUGUAGGGGUAAAAUCCGUAGAUAUCACUAGGAAUACCUAAAGCGAAGGCGAUCUCCUGGAACAUUACUGACGCUAAGGCGUGAAAGCGUGGGGAGCAAACAGGAUUAGAUACCCCUGUAGUC
rnacentral:rRNA from 1 species